rnacentral:lncRNA from 1 species
GUAUAGAAAAAAUACAGCUACAGGAACCACUCUUUGAGGAAAAAUAAUGGAGCAUUUAACUGAUAAUCUAAAUUUGAAUGGUGAUGGAACCAUUUAACAGAACUAGACAUUAGGUGAAAAAAGUUGAUGUUGUGUUUUAAAACACAUUUCUUGCUAAGGCUCACAAUCACGAAUGGAUCAGCUCCUGAAUGAAAAUGUGUUUGCUGUGACAGACAUGUCUCCCCACUCCAGGAGAGGAGCAAUCCUGGCUGAGGUAUGUAUUGAGUGUCUGAUGGGGAGAGGUCUCAUUGUGUUUCUGAGUCUCCUGGAGGGUAAAAUGAUGCCACAGGGGCAAAUGCUCAGUUCUGACCUUUCAAAAAUAAAAUUACUAUGCUUGCAUACUCAUUGUUAGGAAGGCAAAUUAGAUUCAUGCCCCCCCUUUAAUAGAUAGCAUCAGUAUAUAUGCAUAUAAAAAGAAUGUUAUGCCUAGUCCCUUCAAUAAGCCGUAGGUGAUAUUAUUUAAUUUGGCCUGUGAAGUUUCACCUCCUGGUGACAAUCCGAUCUCACGUUGGAGUAGUGCUGGGCUUUGUUUGUUAUCCACUGUUUUCUGUCUUUUCCUGUUACCCUUUUCCCAGUGGACUGUGUGCCUCCCUGUCUCGCCUGUGAGAUUGUUCUUCUCUAAUAAGCCUAGCUGCAGGGAUCAGUGUGUUCUUUUUGGCAUUUCAAAAUGUUAAAAUAGUGAAAUUGUUAAAUGUUACCAAGACGAAACUGCUGCGAAUGAAAUUCUCCAGAAGAACCACUAUGUAUUUGUGGCAUGUUACAGUCCUUUUCCAAAAGAAAACUCUUUGAAUCGGUUUACCUAUAUUCUCACGAAAGAAGCAGCCCCAUUGAUGUUGUUGAUAAGUGUUUAGUAUGCAGUGUCAGCUUAUUAAUUACCAAGGCAAAGCCUGAAAAACUCUUUCAAAACAAUCGUGUGACAUUCUUCUUUGCUUUGACUCUGAAUUAAAAUUAACCACCAGGAAAUUUAGACAGGCUCCUGGGUUGUCUUGCAUAGAAGUACGUGGAAUUCGAAUUGGAAUACUCGGCUGUGUAAGAAUAAACUAUUAUGAAAUGGAACUUAUAAUAGCA